UACGGGGGGGGCAAGCGUUGUUCGGAAUUACUGGGCGUAAAGGGCUCGUAGGUGGCCAACUAAGUCAGACGUGAAAUCCCUCGGCUUAACCGGGGAACUGCGUCUGAUACUGGAUGGCUAGAGAUUGGGAGAGGGAUGCGGAAUUCCAGGUGUAGCGGUGAAAUGCGUAGAGAUGUGGAGGAACACCGAUGGCGAAGGCAGCCCCCUGGGUCAAGAUUGACGCUCAUGCACGAAAGCGUGGGGAGCAAACAGG
rnacentral:rRNA from 1 species